rfam:Schistosoma mansoni strain Puerto Rico chromosome 3, complete genome
AUCCAGCUGAUGAGUCCCAAAUAGGACGAAACACGCCUCUUGGAU